UAUGUGCUGAUGAUUCAAUAUACCAUGCCACCUGCCAUGAAUAUUGGUACAAUGACCCAGCUGUUUAAUGUGGGCCAAGAAGAGUGUUCAGUCCUCUUCAUGUGGACAUACUUGGGUGCAGCCUUAGCACUGACAGCCUGGUCAACUGUCUUCAUGUGGAUUUUGUCCUGAGCAAACCCAAUUUGUCCCCAAACAACAACUAUCAGCAUAGGAGGAUCAUUAUAGAAUAGAAAUAGCCUAGAAAAUGCCCAUUAAUUGGGAUGUGAUUGGUUUGAGAAAAGCUCAAGUAAAUAGCUAUAUAUGUCACAGGGUUUGCUUUAAUUUCUUGCUGUGACAGUUCUUGUACCUAUUAGAG
rnacentral:misc_RNA from 1 species